CCCUUUACCGUCUCCCGGCCGCAUGGAUUCCCCUGUUCCCCGGUGAUUUCCAACGUGAAACUCGAGUCGAGGGAAAUUGCACAGCUCACCUAGAGCCAGCUUGACAGCAUAAUUUUUAGGACUCAAGAAUCAGCAUUGAUUUAUUUAAGAUUAAGCCUUGAAAGUCCACUUGGACAUGGCAUGCGAUGUACACACUUGAACAUGGAAAUGAUCUUCCCUCAAGGAGAUCUCUCUCUUCAGAGAACUGGUUCCAAGAAGAAGAGACACUCUAUCUGACCAAACUCAGCCAGACAAAUUUAAUCAGUGUUUUUGAGCAAAGAGUAAAGCUGUACAAGGGUGGCCUGAUCAUCCCUUUCUGCUUGCAUCCCCACGGAGCAGCCCCCUCCAGGAUGGCCACCUACAAGCAGGUUGUGCCUUGUACCAGGGCACCUGGCUGGGACAGCCAAUGAGAACUGAAAUCCUGCCAGGCUCCACUCACCAAGCCAGGUUUUUGGGUCCGUGCUUAUGUCUACUCGGAUGAUGUGGCUCCUUUCCUAAGUUGUACCAAUGCACCCUGUAUGGGCGAGGGGCAGUUCUGACCAUCCCCAUACCAUAUCCCAGUUCUACCUAGGAGUCCUUACCUCAGAUGGAAUGAUGAUUCUCAUGAACAGAUUAGGUUUGUUGUACAAGAUGAAAUUUUUGACCCAAAUUGAAGUUAAUUUCAUAGAUGAAGCUCAAAAUAUUACUAUGGAUGUGAAUUAUGUUUGUGCAUAUUUAUAUAUGCAUGUAUAUAUUGCUGUAGAUAUGAAAUAUGUUUGUAUGUAUUUAUAUAUAUCUAUAUAUAGUUAUGUGGAUACACAUUUUUAUGUAUCAGAAAUUAGCACAACUUAAACUUAGUAAAUGUUGAAAUUAAAACUA